AACAAAAUGACUCUCGGCAACGGAUAUCUCGGCUCUUGCAUCGAUGAAGAACGUAGCGAAAUGCGAUACUUGGUGUGAAUUGCAGAAUCCCGUGAACCAUCGAGUCUUUGAACGCAAGUUGCGCCUGAAGCCAUUAGGCUGAGGGCACGCCUGCCUGGGUGUCACA
rnacentral:rRNA from 1 species